rnacentral:rRNA from 1 species
GAGUGAACGCUGGCGGUAGGCCUAACACAUGCAAGUCGAACGGCAGCACAGUAAGAGCUUGCUCUUACGGGUGGCGAGUGGCGGACGGGUGAGGAAUACAUCGGAAUCUACUUUUUCGUGGGGGAUAACGUAGGGAAACUUACGCUAAUACCGCAUACGACCUACGGGUGAAAGUAGGGGAUCUUCGGACCUUGCGCGAUUGAAUGAGCCGAUGUCGGAUUAGCUAGUUGGCGGGGUAAAGGCCCACCAAGGCGACGAUCCGUAGCUGGUCUGAGAGGAUGAUCAGCCACACUGGAACUGAGACACGGUCCAGACUCCUACGGGAGGCAGCAGUGGGGAAUAUUGGACAAAGGGCGCAAGCCUGAUCCAGCCAUACCGCGUGGGUGAAGAAGGCCUUCGGGUUGUAAAGCCCUUUUGUUGGGAAAGAAAAGCAGCAGGUUAAUACCCCGCUGUUCUGACGGUACCCAAAGAAUAAGCACCGGCUAACUUCGUG